AGCGAACGCUGGCGGCAGGCUUAACACAUGCAAGUCGAGCAGGCACUUUCGGGUGUCCGCGGCGGACGGGUGAGUAACGCGUGGGAACGUGCCCUCUGGUUCGGAAUAACUCAGGGAAACUUGAGCUAAUACCGGAUACGCCCUUUUGGGGAAAGGCUUGCUGCCGGAGGAUCGGCCCGCGUCUGAUUAGCUAGUUGGUGAGGUAACGGCUCACCAAGGCGACGAUCAGUAGCUGGUCUGAGAGGAUGAUCAGCCACACUGGGACUGAGACACGGCCCAGACUCCUACGGGAGGCAGCAGUGGGGAAUAUUGGACAAUGGGCGCAAGCCUGAUCCAGCCAUGCCGCGUGAGUGAUGAAGGCCUUAGGGUUGUAAAGCUCUUUUAUCCGGGACGAUAAUGACGGUACCGGAGGAAUAAGCCCCGGCUAACUUCGUG
rnacentral:rRNA from 1 species